AUACGUAGGGGGCAAGCGUUAUCCGGAAUUACUGGGUGUAAAGGGCGUGUAGGCGGGGAUACAAGUCAGAUGUGAAAUUCCAUGGCUCAACUGUGAAGCUGCAUCUGAAACUGUGUUUCUUGAGUGCCGGAGAGGAAAGCGGAAUUCCAAGCGUAGCGGUGAAAUGCGUAGAGAUUUGGAGGAACACCAGUGGCGAAGGCGGCUUUCUGGACGGUAACUGACGCUGAGGCGCGAAAGCGUGGGGAGCAAACAGGAUUAGAUACCCUGGUAGUCCACGCCGUAAACGAUGGAUACUAGGUGUAGGAGGUAUCGACCCCUUCUGUGCCGGAGUUAACACAAUAAGUAUCCCACCUGGGGAGUACGGCCGCAAGGUUGAA
rnacentral:rRNA from 1 species